AUGGAAACUGAACAUGUGAGCCAGAUGCUUACCUUAAUCAAACAUUUUUCCCAACAUCAUGGAUGUCAUGUUUGGUUUGUAGCACAUCCCAUACAGCUGCACAAUUGGACUGGGAGUCCUCCUAAUCUUUAUGAUAUUAGUGGAAGUUCACACUUUAUAAAUAAGUGUGACAAUGGAAUUGUCAUCCACCGUAAUCGUGAUCCCGAGGUUGGGCCUAUUGAUAAAGUGAAGGUUUGUGUUCGUAAGAUACGAAAUAAGAUAACUGACGAGUAUAUGGAAGUGGAAAAUGAUACUAAGAAAUAG